rnacentral:rRNA from 1 species
CACAGGGAUUGCCCCAGUAACGGCGAGUGAAGCGGCAACAGCUCAAAUUUGAAAUCUGGCCUAGGCCCGAGUUGUAAUUUGCAGAGGAUGCUUCGGGCGCGGUGCCUUCUGAGUUCCCUGGAACGGGACGCCAUAGAGGGUGAGAGCCCCGUACGGUUGGACACCUAGCCUGUGUGAAGCUCCUUCGACGAGUCGAGUAGUUUGGGAAUGCUGCUCAAAAUGGGAGGUAUAUCUCUUCUAAAGCUAAAUACCGGCCAGAGACCGAUAGCGCACAAGUAGAGUGAUCGAAAGAUGAAAAGCACCUUGAAAAGGGGGUUAAACAGCACGUGAAAUUGUUGAAAGGGAAGGGCCCAUGACCAGACUUGUGCCCGGCGGAUCACCCAGCGUUCUCGCUGGGGCACUCCGCCGGGUCCAGGCCAGCAUCGGUUCUCGCCGGGGGAUAAAGGCUCUGGGAACGUAGCUCCUCCGGGAGUGUUAUAGCCCUCUGCGUAAUACCCUGGCGGGGACCGAGGUACGCGCUCCGCAAGGAUGCUGGCGUAAUGGUCAUCAGCCACC